rnacentral:rRNA from 1 species
GGCGGCUUGCCACCGGACGGUGACCUCUGGGAGGCCUUCAAGAAGCGUGUGCCUGUCUCCGGCUACGACGACAUCAAGCCGUACGUGGAUCGUAUCGCCUCCUCCAGCCGCGAGUCGUCGUCCACUAAUCUUCUCUGCUCCGAGCCCAUCACCCACCUCCUCAGAAGCUCGGGCACAUCUGGUGGCAAGCAGAAGAUCUUCCCGUCCACCGCCGAGGAGCUCGACCGGAAGCUCUUCUUCUAUGGUGUCCAGGCACUCGUGAGGAACAUGUACGUGCAUUUACAUGCUGACCAGGAGAGCAAGCGCGGCAUGGGGAUGCGCCUCACCCUCACCUUCCCCGUCGAACACACGCCGUCCGGCCUUCAGGUCCAGGCGGCCACCACCGCCUAUUACUGCAGCAGCCAGUUCCAGGACCACGAGGUGGGCGGGUUCGACCGGUGCACCAGCCCCAUGGAGGCCAUCCUCUGCCCGGACGCCGAGCAGAGCAUGUACUGCCAGCUGCUCUGCGGCCUGCUCAACCGCGACUCCGUGAACCACGUCGGCACCUCCUUCGCCAACAGCUUCGUCCGAGCCAUCAAGUUCCUGGAGCAAAACUGGGAGGAGAUGUGCUCCGACAUCCGCACCGGCAGCCUCAGUGGCCGGAUAACGCAUGCGCCCCUGCGUGACGCCGUCAUCCAGCGAUACCUGCGAGGGCCCGAUCCGGCACUGGCUGACGCGGUCGCGUCGGAGUGCGCUGCUAGGCCCUGGGACGGUAUUGUCACCAGGCUAUGGCCGCGGGCACGGUGUGCCCUCACCAUAGUCACCGGCUCCAUGGCGCAGUACAUUCCGAUCCUCUGGAGCUACUGCGGUGGCCGGUUGCCGAUAGUCUCGCCCUGCCAUGCAUCUACCGAGUGUGCCGCCGGAGUCAAUCUAAGGCCUCUCGACCCGCCCAGCCAUGCGUCGUAUGCGUUGCUUCCUAACAUCGCCUACUUUGAGUUUGUCGAGAUACAGCCUCGUGAUGAAGAAACUCCUACUGUUGAUGACGAUGGCGAUCCCGGUGAGAUGAAGCUUGUAGAUCUUGUGGAUGUCAAAAUUGGUCAGACCUAUGAGCUGGUUGUCACCACCUUUGCAGGUCUUUACAGGUACCGAGUUGGUGACCUUCUCACCGUGACUAGCUUCUAUAAUGCAACACCAUUGUUCCACUUCUCGGGACGACAUGAUGUUAUCUUAAGUAUAGACCAUGAGAAGAUAAGCGAGGAGGAACUACUCAGGGCAAUUUCACAGGCUAUUGAGCUCCAUCUUGGCCCUCUUGGAUACAUGCUC